UGGGACAAGGAGAACGGUGUCUACACGCUCAAUUUCCAUGGUCGAGUCACUCGGGCUUCGGUGAAGAACUUCCAAAUCGUGGAUCCCAAACACCGUGAGCUCCUGGAAACCAGUUUAGCCGGGCCAGAAGAACAUCUGGUGCUCCAGUUCGGCCGAGUGGGCCCAGACACAUUCACCAUGGACUUCUGCUUUCCAUUUAGCCCGCUCCAGGCCUUCAGCAUCUGCUUGUCCAGUUUCAAUUAGAAGCUGGCUGUUGAAUAACUCAAUAAAAUACCAUACCCUU
rnacentral:lncRNA from 1 species